rnacentral:rRNA from 1 species
UACGGAGGGGGCUAGCGUUGUUCGGAAUUACUGGGCGUAAAGCGCACGUAGGCGGCUUUGUAAGUUAGAGGUGAAAGCCUGGGGCUCAACUCCAGAACUGCCUUUAAGACUGCAUCGCUUGAAUCAUGGAGAGGCGGGUGGAAUUCCGAGUGUAGAGGUGAAAUUCGUAGAUAUUCGGAAGAACACCAGUGGCGAAGGCGGCCCGCUGGACAUGUAUUGACGCUGAGGUGGACGAAAGCGUGGGGAGCAAACAGGGAUU